UAACACGCUCGACGUUUAACCGCGGUGUCCUGUCCACAAGCGCCGUUUACAGUGCGAUAUUAUACAAUUAUUUAUACGUACAACAUUGUACAGGCAGAUAUUAUGGGUACAAAUAAAUAAACGGCCGAUACAGCCGAUGGGCGUGUCGCUGUUUUGGAAGGGGAGUUAUUGAAACGUAGGAUAUCGUAAUGUAGAGUAAAUGAAUUUAUAUCCGUGCGUGCGGCGAUAAACUAUUGCCAAGGGAAAAACCGAUUCUGAGCCGAGUGUUAUUAUAGUCGUGUUUUUCCCCUUUUAUUGUCGAGGUAACCCGGAAAUCGUCAAAAACGUUGCCAAUUUUUCCGAUCAAUUAAAAAAAUUACAAGGAAAAUCGAAAAAAAUGACCUCGCCAAUGCACCAACCAGAUCGAAAAUCAUACUAGAAAGUUCUUAUAUAAAGUUUUCGACCGGCGCGAGAUGUCCGACAAAAAAUACUUGACACAAACAUCAAAAACCUAGCGGUAAUACCAAUACAUUCCUCGCUUCACUCAGAAUCUAAUAAUCUAAUAUAAAAAUGUAGCCUGGAACAAGUGUAGGUGUAUAAUAUUGUGUCUGUAUGCAUUUACGCGAUUGGUUAAGAUUUCGAAAACCUUCGUCCGCGGAUAAUAGUAUGUAAUGGGCAAAACAACAAAAUCAAAAAAUACAUAUUAAAUCGUUAUUUAUGCG